AAAGCGCCACCGGUACCUUGAACUUCGCUGGGCUCCAGCUUGACCGUCGAUAAUUGCUUGAAGGUGGCGGGGGUAACGACGGUUCGUUUUUCCUCGAAUGGUUGUAGGAAAUCCUGUGUUUUCUUCCGAUGAAUCUCUGUUUUUUUUUAUUUUGAAGAAAUCACAGAAUUAUAAUUAAAAAUGGACAGAAAAAAGAGCAUAAAUUCGAAGAACAUGUAGGGUCCUAUACACAUUCCCCGAAGAAAUUAGUAACAGUAUAUAUGUCUCUAUUAUCCUAAUCUAAUCUAUCCAUCCGUAAAAAAAGAACUGACGUAAAUUAUUAGGUGGUAGGAGGAGGGAGGGAGGAUAGUCAGGAUACCUUGUGGAGAUAGCGUCGGAUCAAUUUGCGUGAAUCCGGAGGUCUCCUUGUAAAGCGAGAGAAAAUCGUGCGUCGUCGCUUUCUUACUAUCUGUUUUUUUUUUGUAACUGAUUUUCAAAUCGAAGAAGAAAAAGCGAUCGGAGGACAAAAGGGGGAAGACAAAGAAGACGCGGGAAGAUAUAUAAGAUGUGAGAAUUAAGAAUCAAACCUUGGAUUUCCAUCGACUCUCUUCUCACCUCGUCGUCGUCACUUCGUCGGAAACAGCAACUUCGUCGAAACGAAUUUCACGAAUCGGAUGGAUGGUCUCUAGCUAUGAAUUGGGACACGGAAAGUACAUCCCCACAAAAUGCAGUAGCAUCCGAUCCACUGACAGACAAGCAGAGAUCUGAAUCGGAGAAUUCAAGAUUCCGAUCGAUCUACUCUCCACCGCCACCGAGAUUGAGGAAGAAUAGAGGGAAGAAAGAAGAAAGAAGAAAGAAGAAAGAAAAAAGAAAAAAGGUUGGAGACGUUCGGAAGUCGGAGCGAAGAUAUGAGUCUUUUUUUUAUAUACCAGUAGUCAGAGUCCAGUCACCAUCUACCCCUCCUGCUUUUACAAUUUAUAUUUUAUUUCGAAAUUGUGGCACGAUCUGGACCGUUGGUGGCGAAUUUGGAGUCACGUGCUUGGCGGCAGACUGGUAGGAAGUGGUGACCGGCGGGAGACGGGAAUCACAUGAGCGAGAAUUACGGCAGAACCCGAGAAGAUUCCACCACACUUAAACACUUUUCUUUUAUUAAUUUAAUUCCAUUUAAUUUUUAUACUUUAUUUCAGCUGUUCAUGAUGUCGGGUGAGAAAGACAUGGCCCGCAUUACUUUGCUGCAGCUGUCAGAGUCUUCAGAGUAAGCGAAAUCUUAUCUGUUAAGAACCACGGAUGUCACGUGCAAUUUCACACGUGGGCUUUCUUCCUGACAUCUCUUACUCGUUACUGACAACUUACUGUUCGUAUCCUUACUGCAUUUAAUUAAGCCUACUUUCGGGUAAAAUAUGCAAUUUACCCUCAACUUUCAUUUAAAAUUUAAAAGUUCGUUAACACUCAAAAUAAAACGGAUUAAACUGAAUUUUAUUUUAAAAUUUAUUUCGUCAUUUUUUCUCAAAAAAAAAUGAUCUUGGAUUUAUAAUAUAGAUAUUUCAUUUUAAGACUUUGAAUAUAUUUGAUUUUAUUUGUCUAAAAAAAAAUGAAAUUUUGAGAAUGAGAGAACUCGUAUUAAAAAUAAUAUGAUUCUUUUCAUUAAUUAAUGUAUAAUUUUUAAUUUUUUAUCAUAGAUAUAUUUAUAAAAAAAAUUAUAUAUAUAAUUGUCUUCUUUCAUUUUAGUAGAUUGGAUCGUGUUGUUUUCGUAUCAUUUUUUUUUUUUUUGGACAAGGUUCAAAUCCUAUCCCUAAAUUUAAAAUCAGGAUAUGGACGAUUGUAUUUAAAAAAAAUCUAGAUAGCCGGCCGGCAUGUUCCUUCCUAGAUGAGUCUCAGGUUCAAAUGAGUCCUGAAUUUUUUAUAAUUAAAAUUUAAAUAACUAGAUUUUAGCAUAAAAAUAUAAAAAAUAGUAGAAAUUAGCUUCUUUUUUUAAGGCCGUCUGAUCUGAGCCAUCCAUUCCUAAAUCGACGAUCAGAUAAAAAAAACGUUACUGUGUUUUUUAAAAUAAAAUAUACUAGAUUUUUUAAUAUCAAAUGUACAAGAUUGAUAAAAAAAGAAUUAGAGUUAAAAUAGAAGAUGAAAAUACUAUUAUAAUCUUAUUUGUAAUUAAGAUAAACUCUAUUUUUUUUUAAAUACACAUUUUUCAAAAUGCACAUAUACACCGUUUUGAAUGAAAAAUGAAAAAACGGUUAUAUAAAUGUCAUUAUAAGAAAUAAAUUCUUGUUUUGGAAGAAAAAAAAUUAAGAUCUCAUGUGUGAUUAAUAUAUACACAGCGAAAUUAAUAACUAUUAAGGUUGUUGAUGAUUCAAGAUUUUAGAAUUUCUGUAUUUACAAAAAAAAAAAUUAAAAUCAGAUAUAUUGAUAUAUAAAGGAAAAAUAAAUAAUACUUACAGACAAGCAAACAAAGAGGGAGUUGGUGUUCGCUCUUGAGCGAACGAGCGAGCAAACGAGAAAUAUUUCUGACAGCGAGCGCGCGAAGUGAGGGACUUUAACCAUGAGAGAGGGAAAAUCUGACCGUGAGCAAACAAGUCUGGUGGGUCCUCCGCGUGCAAGCGUUUUGGGUUCUCAACAUGUUAGCGUUUUGGGUUCUCGAUCAGCGUGCUAGCUUUUUGGGUUCUCAGCGUGCGGUUCGUCUGACAGAGGAGCGAGCACCGUUUUGCUCUGAGCGAGUCUGGUGGGUUCUCCGCGAGCACCAGAGUGUCCGCGAGAGAGCGCCGGAGUGUCCGCGAGCGAGCGCCUAAGCGACCGUGGUUCCACGUCUUUGACUGCGAGCGACAGAUCGGUCUCUUUCCACAAACAUCAGACUCCUCAUACAGCUAGCAGAAGAUGGAAAGAAACCUCGUUAUUGGUUAAUGACCUAUAAGUCGAUGAUUAACAUGUCAUAUUCAUUUCAUACAUCUUAUAUGUUUUUAUUGGAACUUGUAAUUUUUUAUCUUAUAUUUUAUUUACAUCGAAUUUAAAAAAAAAUAUAUAUAUAUACAGCAAAUACCUGCAAUGAAAUCGAGGAUGAGAAAAAACAACCACCAACAAUCACGUGGCGACAACGUCGUAACCUCUUCAGUCUCCACUACCGGUGCCGGUGGAUGGGUGGUCCCCACAAAAACUCGUAGUGCGAGGGCGUGUUCGUGCUUGGAUGUCGCUGUCGUGUGGGCCCCAGAGAAGUGGGAGGAGUAC
rnacentral:lncRNA from 1 species